CGCCUUCUUUUGCUCGUCUUCCAAAGCCUUUUGCAUUUUGGCUUGGGAAUCGACACUGAGGAGAGCAGAGGUUAGUUCCUUUGGGUGCUCGUGUUCAAAGGAUGAGUAGCGGACGUACCUGUUGUCGGAGUACACCAUGUUUGCGGCUCUGAUUAGUGUGUGUGGGCUCGAAAAGAAGGACAAGAAUCUUUAUACGUCCGCCCUCAGUUGGACAGCAUCAGGACCUUGGACGUUCCCCUCAAAAGGCCGUUUGUCUUGCUUGAGAAUGUUUGGCCUCCGAGGUCUGGAAGCAGCAUGCGUCAUGGUCUUGACUUCAUCUUGUUUCAACAAGUGCAGGCGAGGGGCAUACGCCAACGAUAUUUCUGGAGCGAUCCACGACAUCGCCAUGUAGCACGGUUUUGCUGAUUGGCUUACAGAUACAAUGAGGGCAGCUUACCAAAGAACAAGAGAGACACUAAAGGUUCAUUGCGAGAAGCUACCUAGCUUCACAAGCCGCAAACAGAUGCCUCGGGCAAGUCAACGAACGCCGAUGCAACAAUUUGGUUCUUGAUCACUUUCUAGCUUGCGUGAGCCAACCUACAACUCAACCUAGCAAACAUCUUUUUUCCCUUUCCUGUCUCAUCCAGAAGGUCUUCUUCUCAAUCCUUAGUCAUAUAUCCCACCGAUUCUCACGGAAUCAUCACCAGACUUUAUCAAAACCCCCGUCAUGCUCAACAUCCAAGGCUGGCUGGCCAUGCUGAUCCGUGCAAGCAUCACAACAAGUCUACUUGCUCUGCUUCUUAGCAGCCUCCUCCGCCUUCUGCUUGUCGAUUUUCGCUUGCAUAUGUGCACAGGCCUUCCUGAUCGCCUCCUGUCUCUUCUCCUCAUCCGCUAUCAAUUUCUUAGCAGUUUCCUCUCUCUUCUUCCUCUUCUCCUCUUCCUUCUUAGCAGCGUCGCUGGGAAACAAAGCCAUUAGUGUGCGGUCUACGUACAGAGCGAACAAGGCAAAGAGCAAGAAACAGUGAGUGGAUGAUGGAAGGGGGGCAGGUAGUCCGGGACGUACUUGUUGUCAGACAUUUUUUGCUGUUUUGUCUUUGGAUUCUUUGUUGUUGUUGGUCUUGAGAUGUGUGCUUUUGGUGAAGCUUGUUCAGUGGUUCUUGCUUUUCUGUUUGAGGCUUUGUGGAUGAUGAAAGAAGUGAAAAAAGGAAGCAACGAACUAGUGCAUGGCCAUGAUCUUUAUACCUUUUG